rnacentral:rRNA from 1 species
UGGGGAAUAUUGCACAAUGGGCGGAAGCCUGAUGCAGCAACGCCGCGUGCGGGAUGACGGCCUUCGGGUUGUAAACCGCUUUCGCCUGUGACGAAGCGUGAGUGACGGUAAUGGGUAAAGAAGCACCGGCUAACUACGUGCCAGCAGCCGCGGUGAUACGUAGGGUGCGAGCGUUGUCCGGAUUUAUUGGGCUUAAAGGGCUCGUAGGUGGUUGAUCGCGUCGGAAGUGUAAUCUUGGGGCUUAACCCUGAGCGUGCUUUCGAUACGGGUUGACUUGAGGAAGGUAGGGGAGAAUGGAAUUCCUGGUGGAGCGGUGGAAUGCGCAGAUAUCAGGAGGAACACCAGUGGCGAAGGCGGUUCUCUGGGCCUUUCCUGACGCUGAGGAGCGAAAGCGUGGGGAGCGAACA